rnacentral:rRNA from 1 species
GACGAACCGUGCGAACGUUGUUCGGAAUCACUGGGCUUAAAGGGCGCGUAGGCGGGUGGGCAAGUCUGCGGUGAAAUCCUCCAGCUUAACUGGAGAAGUGCCGUGGAUACUGCUUACCUCGAGGAGGGUAGGGGCAUCUGGAACGUUGGGUGGAGCGGUGAAAUGCGUUGAUAUCCAACGGAACUCCGAUGGCGAAGGCAAGGUGCUGGACCCUUUCUGACGCUGAGGCGCGAAAGCCAGGGGAGCGAACGGG